UUGAACGCUGGCGGCAUGCCUUACCCAUGCAAGUCGAACGGUAACAGGUCUUCGGAUGCUGACGAGUGGCGAACGGGUGAGUAAUACAUCGGAACGUGCCCGAUCGUGGGGGAUAACGAGGCGAAAGCUUUGCUAAUACCGCAUACGAUCUACGGAUGAAAGCGGGGGAUCUUCGGACCUCGCGCGGACGGAGCGGCCGAUGGCAGAUUAGGUAGUUGGUGGGAUAAAAGCUUACCAAGCCGACGAUCUGUAGCUGGUCUGAGAGGAUGAUCAGCCGCACUGGGACUGAGACACGGCCCAGACUCCUACGGGAGGCAGCAGUGGGGAAUUUUGGACAAUGGGCGAAAGCCUGAUCCAGCCAUGCCGCGUGCAGGAUGAAGGCCUUUGGGUUGUAAACUGCUUUUGUACGGAACGAAAAGCCUCUUUCUAAUAAAGAGGGGUCAUGACGGUACCGUAAGAAUAAGCACCGGCUAACUACGUG
rnacentral:rRNA from 1 species